CCUACGGGUGGCACCAGUAGGGAAUAUUGGUCAAUGGGCGAGAGCCCGAACCAGCCAUGCCGCGUGUAGGAUGACGGCCUUCUGGGUUGUAAACUACUUUUCUACAGGAAGAAAACGGCUAUGCGUAGCCAAUUGACGGUACUGUAGGAAUAAGCACCGGCUAACUCCGUGCCAGCAGCCGCGGUAAUACGGAGGGUGCGAGCGUUGUCCGGAUUUAUUGGGUUUAAAGGGUGCGUAGGCGGCUCUUUAAGUCAGUGGUGAAAGCCCGCAGCUUAACUGUGGAAUUGCCAUUGAUACUGGAGAGCUUGAGUACGGUUGAAGUAGGCGGAAUUUAUGGUGUAGCGGUGAAAUGCAUAGAUACCAUAAAGAACACCGAUAGCGUAGGCAGCUUACUAAGCCGUAACUGACGCUGAGGCACGAAAGCAUGGGGAGCGAACAGG
rnacentral:rRNA from 1 species